CCUCCUUUUCUUGGAGGGGACUGGGUGUGUGUGGUCCUACUUCCCGUUAUGUACAGAGGCAGAAGGAAAGGGCUCCGUUCCUCUUGGUGCCAUGUCUUCGGUGCUGGCAGCUUCCCAUUCGCCGGUUCUAUCCUCAACGCCAAGACACGG
rnacentral:snoRNA from 1 species